rnacentral:tRNA from 1 species
ACGUUCGGUGCCGAGGCGACCCACGCUCUUGUCGCUGCGACCGAUGAGGAAGGCACCCCGCGUCUUUAUCUUGCGGAUCUUUCCGCCUCGGGCGUG